rnacentral:rRNA from 1 species
AGAGUUUGAUCAUGGCUCAGAAUGAACGUUGGCGGCGUGGAUUAGGCAUGCAAGUCGAGCGCGAUUCUUCAGCAAUGAGGAUGAAAGCGGCGAAAGGGAUAGUAACACGUAGAUCACGUGCCCUCGGGUCAGGGAUAGCGUCGGGAAACUGACGGUAAUACCAGAUAAUGUCUCCGGACCAAAGAUUUAUUGCCCGAGGAGCGGUCUGCGUCCUAUUAGCUAGUUGGUGGGGUAAUGGCCUACCAAGGCGAAGAUGGGUAGCGGGUGUGAGAGCACGACCCGCAUCACUGGGACUGAGAUACUGCCCAGACACCUACGGGUGGCUGCAGUCGAGAAUCUUCCGCAAUGGGGGAAACCCUGACGGAGCGACGCCGCGUGCGGGAUGAAGGCCUUCGGGUUGUAAACCGCUGUCGUAGGGGAGCAAAUUUUGAGCGAUCCUAGGAGGAAGCACCGGCUAAACUCGUGCCAGCAGCCGCGGUAAUACGAGUGGUGCAAACGUUAUUCGGAAUCACUGGGCUUAAAGGGUGCGUAGGCGGCUAUGAAGGUCUGAUGUGAAAUACCACGGCUCAACCGUGGAAUGGCAUUGGAAACCAUAUGGCUGGAGUGAGACAGAGGUGAGCGGAACAGAUGGUGGAGCGGUGAAAUGCGUUGAUAUCAUCUGGAACACCGGUGGCGAAAGCGGCUCACUGGGUCUUUACUGACGCUGAGGCACGAAAGCUAGGGGAGCAAACGGGAUUAGAUACCCCGGUAGU